CGCAAUAUCAUGUUUUAUUCGCUGUAGGGUUUUCUCAAGAGAUAGGUAUGAAAGUGAUAAGAAGCAAUACUCAAAUAUGUACGUACAAAAUACCGGUAGGUACAUUUCAUUUUCAGAUAGCUCUUGAAUAAGUACUCGUUUAACUGACCGGUGUGAUAUAAGUGUUUUAGUUGAAACUUCUUGUUAGAAUUUUAAUUGCAGAUUUCGUGUAGGUAGAUCUCGAUCAAGAAUGGACGAAAACACCGAAAUGUCCUUGAAAAUGUUCUUGACGUCGUUCAAUUUUCUAAUAUUGUUCCUUUCGGUCACUUGCUUGAUUACUCAAUUAAUCAAGUUUUUUAGAUCCAAUGGGCCUACUCUAUCAUUGGCAACUAAAAGGAUUACAAUGUAUAGCGCGUACUUGCUUAUAGUAUACUUUCUCUCGUAUGUUAUUGGACCCUUCGUUGAAUCUAAUAAUUCAUGGUAUCGAAAAGUUAGUUUAUUUAUGCGCAUAUUGCCGAUAUAUUCAUUACUUUUAUUAGCUUAUGACACAUGCUUGUAUCUGAGAAAAAAUGCCGUAUCUUUCCCGAUAGAACGGAGUAAUGAUCAAAAAUUUUACGUUCACUUUUCAUAUGAAAUAAUUGUUUCUUUAUUAUUUACUGUAUAUUAUGAAUAUUUUCCUUCUAUGCUGGGAGAAGGAAAUGAAGUAAUAGGUUUUCAUUACGGUUGUAUUAUCUGUUUUAUCGUUUCCCUGUGGUACGUUACCAAGGAUGAUCUCAAUGAGUUAUCACUACCGGGCGAAUUUUCUUUAUAUUUGCGUAUUUUGGCGGUAAUUGGAAUAAUUUCCAUCUCUCGAUGUGCAGCGCUUGAAAUCAGGCUCGCAUUAAGGUGCCAUGAUGGAAUUUCGACUCAACUACUGAACUACUUGGUGGAACUCUCUUUGAAUGCCGAAGGAUUGAUUAUUGGAAUAGUUUACACGUUCAAGAUUGAUGCUUACCAAACUCAAAGAAAACUUGAUCAAUUAAUGUCCGUAAAUUCAGUCUGAAUAGUGCAGCAUUAGGUACCUAUUGUAUUUUGAAAUGAUAUCAAAUUAUGAAUGAAUGCAGAUAAUGACAAAUAUUGUUUCAGUUUCAUCAACUUAUUUGUGCUUUUUUUCUUUAAUUUUAGAACAAUGAAUUAUCCAUUUUCAAUUUUAUAUUCGAGUGCUAAAAACAACAAUAGAAAUAGCUACUUAUGAUUAUUAAUCAUGUAUUUCUAGUGUUUGUAAUAAAUUUUAAUUAAUGGUAAAAUAUUACAAAAAGCACCAGUCGUUCGCUGAAUGUUAAGAUAAUAUUGAUUACUUGUUGAUAUAGUUGCCUAUAGAAGUAUCUGCAGGAAUAUUUAUUAAUUUACAAUCAGAAAUAUAUUUUUUGAGAUUUUGAAGGGAAAAAAAGAAUUAGUGUAUCGAACUAAUUUGAGGUCGCUGAUCACGAUUCUGAGGUUAUUACAUAAUUAUAUCAUUCUAAUUAGGUUGUAUACCAAUUUGAUGUCGCUAAAUACCUCUACAUGUAGAAUACUACCUAGGUACAUACUACCUACAUUUACAUUGAUUUCAUUUUUUAUCAUUUUCAUACUUAGUACAGUUUCAAUUUUUUUAUAAAUAAUGUAAAUUAUCAAUAAAAUAUGUACUAUAAAUUACAAUUCUUAAUAUGA